UAAGGGCGCACGGUGGAUGCCUUGGCACUAGAAGCCGAUGAAGGACGUUACUAACGACGAUAUGCUUUGGGGAGCUGUAAGUAAGCUUUGAUCCAGAGAUUUCCGAAUGGGGAAACCCAGCAUGAGUUAUGUCAUGUUAUCGAUAUGUGAAUACAUAGCAUAUCAGAAGGCACACCCGGAGAACUGAAACAUCUUAGUACCCGGAGGAAGAAAAAGAAAAUUCGAUUCCCUUAGU
rnacentral:rRNA from 1 species